GGGGUAAUGGCUCAGUGGUAGAGCACUCACCUAGAAUGUGUGAGGCCCUGGGUUCACAGUGCCCCA
rnacentral:tRNA from 1 species